rnacentral:rRNA from 1 species
UUGACCUCAAAUCAGGUAGGACUACCCGCUGAACUUAAGCAUAUCAAUAAGCGGAGGAAAAGAAACUAACAAGGAUUCCCCUAGUAACUGCGAGUGAAGCGGGAAAAGCUCAAAUUUAAAAUCUGAGGGUCCUUGCGGCCUUCCGAGUUGUAAUCUAGAGAAGUGUUAUCCGCGCUGGACCGUGUACAAGUCUCCUGGAACGGAGCGUCAUAGAGGGUGAGAAUCCCGUCUUUGACACGGACUACCAGGGCUUAUGUGAUGCGCUCUCAAAGAGUCGAGUUGUUUGGGAAUGCAGCUCUAAAUGGGUGGUAAAUUCCAUCUAAAGCUAAAUAUUGGCGAGAGACCGAUAGCGAACAAGUACCGUGAGGGAAAGAUGAAAAGAACUUUGGAAAGAGAGUUAAACAGUACGUGAAAUUGUUGAAAGGGAAACGCUUGAAGUCAGUCGCGUUGUCCAGAAAUCAACCUUGCUUCUGCUUGGUGUACUUUCUGGUUAACGGGUCAGCAUCAAUUUUGACCGGUGGAUAAAGGUCAGGGGAAUGUGGCAUCUUCGGAUGUGUUAUAGCCCUUGGUUGCAUACAUCGGUUGGGAUUGAGGAACUCAGCACGCCGCAAGGCCGGGUUUUUAACCACGUACGUGCUUAGGAUGCUGGCAUAAUGGCUUUAAUCGACCCGUC